UGAGGAAUAUUGGUCAAUGGACGCAAGUCUGAACCAGCCAUGCCGCGUGCAGGAAGACGGCUCUAUGAGUUGUAAACUGCUUUUGUACGAGGGUAAACCCGGAUACGUGUAUCCGGCUGAAAGUAUCGUACCAAUAAGGAUCGGCUAACUCCGUGCCAGCAGCCGCGGUAAUACGGAGGAUUCAAGCGUUAUCCGGAUUUAUUGGGUUUAAAGGGUGCGUAGGCGGUUAGAUAAGUUAGAGGUGAAAUGUUAGGGCUUAACCCUGAAACUGCCUCUAAUACUGUUUAGCUAGAGAAUAGUUGCGGUAGGCGGAAUGUAUGGUGUAGCGGUGAAAUGCUUAGAGAUCAUACAGAACACCGAUUGCGAAGGCAGCUUACCAAACUAUGACUGACGUUGAGGCACGAAAGCGUGGGGGAGCAAACAGGAUUAGAUACC
rnacentral:rRNA from 1 species